AAUGGAUCUCAACGCCACGUUUCCUUUCCGUUUCUGUUUCGUACUCUCACAUCGACAGUCGAUAGAGAAUGCCUAUUAGGACGUUCAUAGAGGUGGGCCCACCAAGCCCACUCAGAUACUUAGUCGGAGCUGCCAUUAUGAUGAUUGGAGUCGUAUUUCCCGUCGGUUACAUGAUGCUCCGAAACAAGCGCGUGCCUUCCAAACAGACGAACAAGGUUUUGAUAUAGACACGUGAUGAUGAAAUGAAGGGCUCGGAUUUUGUGGAUUUAGAUGGAUUAGAAAGUUUUGUUUAAUCUAUAUAGACAUAUCAACAAUUAGUUCAAUUGUCGAUGCCAAUCCCAAUUCUCUUUAGUGGUUUGUUGAUUAUGAACUCACUAUACAUGGGGCUUUCACUCCAUUUUUACUCCUAAAUUUCAAUAUUGUGCAUAUCUUACUUAUAGUACUCGCGGAAAUAAGUGUCCAUGCAAACAUUGUUUUCUUCUAACAUAAUGAUGGUACUGUU